rnacentral:misc_RNA from 1 species
UUAACUUAUUUGUUGUUUUACUCAGACUGCAGGUAAAAAACGAGUUUGGUUGGUCCUCUGGCGGGCGCUGUCCAGCGCGAGGGCCGGAUGCCGGGGGACUCGCAAGGAGUCCCCGACGGGCCCGCCGAGGCAACAGAGGUACGUAAGCACGGGGUGGGAGUUCGGGACCUCCACGAGGGAGGCCCCUAUACUCGGUAAUGAUCCUUCCGCAGGUUCACCUACGGAAA